AGAGAUAGAGAGAGAGAGAGGUGAGCCAGAGGCAUCAGGACUUUGAAACACUCUCUGGAGGGUGGUUCUCAGAAUGUGGUGCCUAGACCAGCAGCGUGAACGAGGUGGCAUCGCCUGGGAAAGAAAUGUGCCCCACCCGGACCUGCCGAGCCAGGAACGCGGACGGGGGUCGGGGGGGGUCGCAGCCUCGGACUCGAACGGCUGAUUCUGGCGCAUGCUACAGUCUGCUUCUAAAUUUCCCAGUCCUCAGACUGGGGAAGGGGCAUUGGUUUUGAUUUGUUUUGUUUUGUUUCAUUUCCGUUCCAUUAUGGAUCAGGACUUUUAUAAAAUGCGACAGAAAUGAAAAAAGUGAGAAAGCUAGAAGAUUUACAGAAUGCAAACCCAAAUUUUGUAUUCCUAGAUCCGAAGCUGUACAUUUGCUCCGUGAAAAGUGCUAGAAACCUUUCUAAAUGGCAUCCUCUCAAUUUCUGCGCUCGUGUCUCAGAGAACCAGCAGCCAGCAGCGUGCCCAGGGGCUCUGGCCGGCUGACCGGGCUCAGAGCGGCCAGGCCAGCGGGCCUUGGACAACCUUCCUCGGUGACUGCCAGGACCGCCGGGUACCCGGCAAAGCCCCGGGUGGGGAAAUACAAUGAAAAGCAAACUCUCCUCCCAACCGAGACAACCUCAUCACAGAGGCAGAAGAGACAGAAAUUCAUUUUAUUAUUGAAUAAACAUUCAGCCCCCCUGCGAGGACAGAAAUCUCUCCUCUGUGUAGCCACAGAUGGGGCCACUCCUGUCGGGUCGCAUUUGCCACCUGGAGCCCGGGGACGAGUCAGGCCCCUGUCUCCCCGAGACCCCGGGAGGUGAGGCGGAUCUUUCUCCACCAUUACUUUUCAGAGAUUCAGCUCCUGGGUCCUUGAGGCGGCAUUUCUGAGUGGAGACACUGGCCAGAGGCAUUUAGCCAUUAAAAACAUUUCCAUACAAACAAGAUUUGAAAAGGACAGAGAAGGAAAUUCUGAAAGAAAAGGAGGAGAGUGUCUCUUUCUUCUGUUCCGUGGGGACACUUAAUUUGUAUCUGGGCUCACACCACACAAUUCCCAUCUUUUCUUCUCAGCCUUCUGUGUGGCUUGCGUUUUGGGAGCGAGCGAGUCUGUGAGUUAUCACCGCAAAUAAUCUUCCUUCCCAGUUUCAUUCUAAAUUGAUUCACGACAGGGUGCCCACAUGGGGGGCGGGGAGGGACCAGGGUUAAAGAGAUGGCUUUCAUUUUUGACUUUGGUUAUUAAAGAGAAAUUGGGUAUUUUCCCACUUUGUUCUAAAGUUUAUUUUUAGCUACGAUUACUUAAAAUGAUUCAUUUUCUUAGACAUCUAGGAAAUGUUAAUUACUGCAGAUAAGACUCUAUUCUAAAGCCUACUACAAAGGCUCGCCCCCCCCCUUCUUCUUUAGCACAUAUAAAGGAGAUGAUGUUAAAAUGCUCUUAUGCAAAUUUAAAAAUUUGGCUGUUACGUUAGCAGUGCUAAUGACAGUUAAUGCAUUCCCAAAGCCUCUCUGUGACCCAAAAUAUUCAAGUGCUUAGAAUUGUUUCAGGACCACCCUGCAAAUAAACUAGAAGGGGACUUUUUUCCUGGAGAUUAGUUCCCUGGACAAGGGAUUCAGUUCGAAUUUAAGGGAUAAAAAAGAACUCUGGAGUCAGUGAGGUACUUACAGAAGUCUCUGCGGACAAAGGCUGAAACCCUCUUCUCCCAGAUCGCAGUCAUGGGGGAGCUACAGAAUCAGAGAGGAACGGUCACAGCGAUGGUUAGGGGGGAUUGUCCUUCAGAAAGCAAGGCAGAGAGGAAUGUGGGAAGAGGGCUAUCACAGGAAGGAGAGGAAAGGGCCAUCACAGGAAGGAGGCAAGAGGGCCAUCACAGGAAAGUGAGGAGAGGGCUAUCACAGGAAGGAGGGGAGAGGGCUAUCACAGGAAGGAGGGGAGAGGGCUAUCACAGGAAGGUGGGGAGAGGGCCAUCACAGGAAGGAGGGGAGAGGGCCAACACAGGAAGGAGGGGAGAGGGCUAACACAGGAAGGAGGGGAGAGGGCUAUCACAGGAAGGUGGGGAGAGGGCCAUCACAGGAAGGAGGGGAGAGGGCCAUCACAGAAAGGAGGGGAGAGGGCUAACACAGGAAAGUGAGGAGAGGGCUAUCACAGGAAGGAGGGGAGAGGGCCAUCACAGGAAGGAGGGGAGAGGGCCAUCACGGGAAGGAGGGGAGAGGGCUAUCACAGGAAGGAGGGGAGAGGGCUAACACAGGAAGGAGGGGAGAGGGCUAUCACAGGAAGGUGGGGAGAGGGCCAUCACAGGAAGGAGGGAAGAGGACUAACACAGGAAGGAGGGGAGAGGGCCAUCACAGGAAGGUGGGAGAGGGCUAUCACUGGAAGGUGGGGAGAGGGCCAUCACAGGAAGGAGGGGAGAGGGCCAUCACAGGAAGGAGGGGAGAGGGCCAUCACAGGAAGGAGUCAAGAGGGCCAUCACAGGAAGGUGGGGAGAGGGCCAUCACAGGAAGGAGGGGAGAGGGCUAACACAGGAAGGUUAGGAAAGGGCUCUCACAGGAAGAUGGGGAGAGGGCUAACAUGGGAAGGUGGGGAGAGGGCUUCACAAAGAUGGGUCAGGGGUGAUCAUGAAGAACCAGCUUCUCGAUGAGAUCUCGUCACACUUGUGCCAGGACCAGUUGGAAGCAGGCUGGGAAUGGCAGCGUUCAACUCAGUCUUGCUUGUAGACCCACCGCGGAGAGAUGCAGGCCUGUGUUGUCCCUGACCUGGGGACUGCCCUGUGCUGCUUGGAGGAGGAACGUUUCAUCUUCCGAAGGUAGCCCUGCUGAGGCGAGUCAGGAUGCCCCAGGGCCUUGGCACCCAUGCCUCUUAGCGUCAAAGCUGUCGUGACUCCUUCAGUCUAUACGCCGUCCCUCCUCCCUUGGGCUCCUUGCCCGUAAACACAAGCAGAGGCACGUGUGCCGCGGUCUAGUACGGAGCAGGAAUGCCAGCCAGGUGACUUCUGGAAGGUUCCGGGUGGAAUGUGCUGGAGAAGUAGAAUGAAAACCAGAAUCUUCCAGCCCGGAAAUGUUGUCCACAAACAUAGUGGAGGAAAACAACUACUUUUAUCGUGUGAAUAAGAGGCCCGAAUGAGAUGCGUAUUCUAGGCAAUCGAGGA